GUACACAUUCACCUAACCUUCUGCCUUUUCCCAAGCCAGAUCUCGAUCAUUUCUUCGCCAGCAAACCUUUUUUUGUCUGAAUACCAUGGCCUCUUGCUUUUUGCUCCCGUGAAAAUUGCACAGUGGCAGAUAAAGCCAACCCUUGGUCGGAUUCUGGGAUGGUAAUCGCGAUCUGUGCCUCAGAAUUUCAAGAGCAGCUUUAGUUCUUCUUCUGGGGAAAAUGCCCAAAGAGAAGGACUCCUUUCGGGAGUAUGUAGAGUUCCUGCAGAACAAGAAGUGGAAGUGUAACUUCUGCAACAAGGAGUAUGGCGGAAGCGUGACCAGGAUCAAGGCCCACUUAGCCGGAGUUGGAGGAUACGGGAUUCAUGGCUGCAACGUCGUCAAUAGCGAAGUGAGAUCAGAAGCCCAAAAAGCAUUAAAGGGUAAAGGACCAGUGGAGUCCAGGAACGGACCAGAAGGCAAUGCCUUGGGGUCAUCGUACUCUCGUUUUAUCAGUUCUAGCAUUACACAGGGUCCACAUCAGCCCGUGACUGUAAGCGAUGAAGAUGCUUGCAGAGAGACUUCAUUCACUGCCAUGCUGAACCCGAGCUUUGAUGUCAUAAGUGCUGUAGGUAUAGGUUCAUCAGCCUCCAUUCCAUUGCACGAGACGAAUGUGCCCAGUCAGUCUCUUCUUGCUCAAAACAUGAUCUCACAGAGGGACUUUUCAUCCUAUACACAACACCCUCAAUCUCAAGUUGGUUAUUCUAUUCGGCCGUGGAAUUUGAGUUAUCCCAGCAGUAGCAGAGACCUCGCAUCCGAAGCUUUGAUUAACAUGCCUGGCCCAGUAAAUGCUGAAGAUGGAGAACCCAAUACAGAGGUUCCACAAGAUGUGAGGACAGAUGAUGCACUCGUGCAUAGUCGACCGAGUAGUUGUGGGCUUGUCGACCAGAAUACGCCAACUUGGAAAAGAAAGCUGGAAGAACUAAGCAAUCGAGAAGCAGACAUGGAUGAGUUGGAGGCGUGGUGUCGGAAAGCAGAAAGGAUAAAAGGAGAAUAUUGGAGUAUGGUCCAAGCAUACCGAGAAGGUAGAUCUCUUGCUCCACAGCAGAUAAAAAGAGUGGAUGACUUUAGCAAAGAAGUUGAAGAUAUUCUAGGCCAUUGUGGUUUCCGAAAAGGGUCGACGACACAUGCUACAGGAUGUAGGAAAAGUUCACCCCUGGUAACAACAGAGCUUGUAGGUGAAAAAAGUGAGAAGACAAUCGAAGAGAUUUGUGCCUAUUUAAUGAAGGAUGAUAUUUUCAUCAUUGGCAUUUAUGGAAUGAGGGGGAUUGGGAAGACAGCCAUUUUAAUGCAUGUCCAUAAUAGAAUACUAGAGAAUCCUGCCUUCAAUGAUGUAUUCUGGAUUACUGUACCUCGUAAGUUUAGCGUGUACGAACUACAAGACGAGAUUGCCAAUGCAGUCGGACUAGAAAAUCUCUCAAAAGAUAAGGAUGUGAAGAGGAGGGCGUGCACAUUGAAUAGGUAUAUGAAGGAGAAGAGAGCUGUCUUAAUUUUAGAUGACCUGUGGAUGCAUUUCAAGAUUGAGGAUGUGGGAAUUCCAAUUGAAGGUGCCCUUAAGCUGGUAUUGACAACUCAAUCACUAGAUGUGUGUCAUAAGAUGCUCUGCCAAGAGAAUAUAAAAAUAAAUCUUCUAGAUUCGUUAGAUAGGUGGAGCUUAUUUGAAGAGAAACUUCAUUUUGGGGGAGCACUUCCUUUAAAAAUUGAAGAAAUUGCUUAUUCCAUUGUGAAUGAGUGUGGGGGUUUGCCACUUGGGAUCAUUGAGAUUGCAACUAGCAUGAGGGGAAUAUGGGAAGUGCACAAAUGGAAAGGCAUGUUGCAGAAAUUAAUAGACUUGAACGUGGAACUUGAUGUUUUCAAGAGAUUGAAACUCAGUUACAUGAAUUUGGGUGAUUCUCAAGUGCAACAAUGUUUCUUGCAUUUAUUAUUUUGUUUUAAAUUUCAAGGAUUUCAUCCAAAUAAUACAAAGUUGAUAGAGUCAUUCAUAGAUGAGGGCUUGCUAGGUGGAAUUGGCAACCGGCAAGAAUUGCAUGACCAGGGUUACUCCGUAUUGGACAAAUUAAGAAAUAGUUGCCUAUGGGAUGAUACUAAAGAAGAAGAAGAGUAUUCAAUUCCACACACAUUGAUGAGAGGCAUGGCAUUGCAUAUAGUGAAAAGCACUACUCACAUGGUCAAGGCCUAUAUGGGAUUGAAAGAAAUUCCAGAGGAAGAAUUCUGGACCUAUCAUCUAGAGAAAGUCUUUUUACAAGGUAACUAUAUAAAAGAAAUCCCAUACGGCAUAUCGCCAAAUUGCCCUCAACUUACGAGGCUAUCCUUAAAUGACAAUGUCUCUUUGGAAGCCAUCCAUGAAUCUUUCUUCAAGCAUCUGAAGGGGUUAAAGGUUCUAGAUCUCAGCAACACCGCAAUCACAAAAUUACCGGACCCUAUCACUCAUCUCGAGAGCUUGGAAGCACUGUUACUUCGAGAGUGUGAGAAAUUAUAUUUUAUACCUAGUGUACGAAAGUUGGGAUCCCUUAAAAAGUUGGACCUAAAUGGGUGUGCAAUGCUUGAAGAAGUGCCAGAGGGGAUGGAGAUGUUGGUAAAAUUGACCUACCUCGACCUAGUUCACACAAUGAUCAAGACGUUACCAGAAGGAGUGUUGCGGAAUAUGGUGAACUUGCAAUAUCUUGCGAGUCAACUGUUGAGGGUAGGGGAAGAGGCAAAAUUAAAAAGGGUGGAAAUACUCUAUUGCGCUGCUCCAAAUGUUGAAGCAUUGAAUGCAUGGGUGAGGUUUCUCGAGCAAAACAGCUCCCGAUGUUAUCAACUGGAGUUGAAUGUAUCUACAUACGACCCCUUUAGGCAUCCUAGGAAGAGGAGUAUAAUAAUCAAAAGUUGCCAUAGUAUUGCAGCAAUGGUAGACAGAGAAAUUAGUGGGGAUGGCCAUGCUCUACUUCCGAAAAAUGUGGAAGUGCUAAAAGUUGGACAAUGCGGUGGGCUGACUAGCUUGUGCAAGGUAGGCCCAUUGGAGAAUCUAAAGGAGCUGGAGAUAGAGGGAUGGGAGAAGUUGGAGGAGUUGGGUGCUGUCCACUUCCCUAACCUACAAAAACUGAAGAUCAUUAGGUGUUCCAAAUUAAAGCAUCCCUUUGAGGAGAUGCAGGGGCUUCCAUGCCUACAAUGGUUUGAAAUCAGGGACUUGGAGGAACUAGAGGGGAUUAAUAUAGUGGUACCUAGUCUCAAUUUUUUUUUUGUGGAAAAGUGUCCUAAAAUGAAGAGAGUGGUGGAAUGGGAGUGGCUGGCCACUUGCCUUCCAAAUCUGAACCUCAUUAGCAUAUAUGAUUGCGAGAAAUUAGAGGAGAUAAUAGGUGGGCCAGUGCCAAGUGGUGCCACUUGUCUUAUUACAAUGUUAACAAUAAUUGGAUGCAACAAUAUGAGGGUGCUGCUGACGCAUGACAUGUUGCUCCACCUCCCUCUCCUUCAAAAUAUUAUAGUCGAAAAAUGCAACGGAGUAGAAGUGAUAAUAGGCCAUGUUCCCAACAUGACGCACUCCUCCAUCUCGAACUUACCAUCCCUAUCUUUAGAUAAUCUUCCGGAGCUGAACAACAUAUGUGAUGGGACCAUGAGUUGUAUUUCAAUCCGAUAUAUUGAUAUAUCAAAAUGUCCGAAGCUGAAGAGGAUUUCUCUGCAGCUGCCCCAACAUGGCAAUGGCCUCCCUACUCCUCCCCGCUCUCUUGGAAGGAUUUUGAUAGAUCAGCAAACGUGGGACUCACUGGAGUGGGACCAUCCCCUUGCUCGUUCUUCACUUCAACACUUAGUCCACUUUCAUGGUAAGUCCCCCCAAUUUUACAUUUCUUUUAUACUAACUGAUAAAAUUCCGUAGUACGGUAAAAUUCAUUUUUUUCCCAAACUUUAGAUGAACUGUUAGGCCUAAUCCGUAUGACUUUUCUUUCAACUGGAAAGUCUAUCAAAAUGGUUAUCUAAUUAUUGAAACUUGGGUAAAGCGAAAACUCACUUCAAUUUCAAAGAAUAUUACUAGCAACAGUGCUUGCUCUUUUUCUCCUAUUGUACCUUAAAAGUACUACACUUCUUCAUAUUGGUGAAUUAUGACAUUCUAAAAGUGCCAAAAUAUGCGGUCAAUUCUUCUUCUUCUUUUUUGCCCUUUAUAUGAAUUGGGUCAAUUCUUAAGUUCUACUUUAUGAAUUGAUAGAGUUUUUUGGACCUAAUUAAGUCCUUAAACUGCUUCAUUUGAGGUUUCGUCCAAAUCUCGAGAUCUCUCAGAUGUAAAACACUAGAGGGUAUUUCCUUUGACCAGAGAAGAAAAAUAUAUGAUGGGACCCAAUCGUGGGUAGCUGCACUGCAUUAAAAUCUCUCUUUCAUCGCCAAGGUUGAGGGUUCGAAACUUGCCGUUGCUGAAGCGUUGUAAGUCAGGGGCCAUAAUAUUAGGGUCUUGUGCUAGUCUCCCCCGAGGUAUAGGAGUCAGGCUCGACAUCACCACCAAGCGCGGCGAGUCGGAACUCCAACGUCCGAAUUUGGUCCACAUACGUACAGCUUUGCGUAUCUCUUCAAGGCUUCACACGGCUUCGCACGGCUUCUCCAGCGGACGUGGGAGUCGCUGGAGUGGGAUGAUCCUCGGGCCUGUUCUUCACUUCAACACUUGGUCAAAUUUUAUGACUGUUGAAGCCAGAGAUGAUCCCGCUGGGGAUGAAUGCCAGCCAGUGGACAUCAGGUUUAUCGCCAUUGUUACAUUGUCCUGCUCGAUUGACCUCUGGUUCUUGUGAUGACAUAGAGCCUUUAUUUGUUCAUGUAUUUCUCGAUUUGUUUUCCCUACUUCUUACUUACCUUUUGUUUUCGUUGCUUGAAUAGAUUCCCUCUCAAGUUUCUCCCGGAUAUACCAUAGUAGGUUUCAUUUUAGAGUGACCAACUUGCAGAUGCCUAGUGUAUCUAUUUUGCAUGUGCAUUAAAUGAUUAGAUUCAUUGACAUGGCUCCACUUAUGGUACCUUUGUUAAGAUGAUGAUUCUACAUAGCGUGAUGUUUACUUCAUUAGAUCCAA